CCAUUAUCUAACCCACUCACUCCAUAUUAUUAUUAUAUUUUGACUUUUAUAUUUUACAUCAUUCUCAUCUUCCUCUUCUUUUUCUUUUUGAUCAUGGAGUUCUUACCUUUUUUUUUUUUCCUGCUUGUUGUUUCUUUAAUUUUUCCUUGUUUUUGAGUAAUGGUUGUUUCUCAAUCUCGUUCAAGUUCAUUGUCCCCUUCUCCUAAGAAACCCAAAAAAAAAAUCUAUUAAAGAAUCUAAACCCAAAUUAGUUGCUCAAACUUCUUCAAAACCCUCUAAGCAGAAAUCUAAAGUUGUGGUUUCUGCUGGUGAGCCUUCAUCUGGUGAUCUUAGGAAGAAAAUUUAAGAGGAAUAGGAUUGAUAAUGAUGAUGAUUUUGUUUCUGUUCGUCCUAGAAAGCAAGUUUUGUCGAGCAUCAAUGGCUGCUCUGUUUUCUUUUUCAGUCGGACGAGAAUGCUUAAGGUGUUGAAGAAGUUGAAACCGUAUUUUAUAUAAUUUAGAUUACACUUACCGUAUAUAAAUUGUAUUUUGGGGUGUAACCGUAUUUUUGUUAAAUUUUUCCUAUUUUAGUGCAAUUGUGAAAA